CUGUUGCCUCUGACAGUCUGUCAUGGAUCAGGAAGAGAGAGCAGUCUGCUGGAGCCAAGCUGGAGGACUGAGGGUUCUGGUUCUGAUCCAUAGCCUCUGCUUCAAAGUGAGCUGCUGGUUCUGAGAGGACCAUGGUGGACAUCAGUGGACUUUGGACCAGAAGCUCAGGAGGACCAGAACCGAAGCUUCACUGUGAAGAAACUCUGAUCAACCUCCAUCUACCUGCUUUUACGCCUGGAAGAACCUGUUAUUCUGCAGAGGGACUCAGCAGUAGAACCUGCAGAGCAACAAACGUGUUGGAACACAUCUGCUGCCUGCAGGAAGACCUGCUGGAAGACAGCUUCAAGAUGAGAAUCAGCACAGCGUCCAACUUACAGGCCUGACCAUGGUGACGAUGUUCAGAGAGCAAACUAAAGCAGAGAUCUUAGGAGAACCAGGAGGAGCAAAGAACAGAUUCUGACCCAGCAGCUCAGAAAACAGAGCAGCGGGUCAGAAAAUCAGAACUCUGCUUAAAAAUAGCAGCAGGGUCUGAGUUUAUAUAAUCAGUUUAAAGUUAAACUGAUUUCAUCAAAUCACACUAAAGUUUAAAAUGAGACUAGAGUCCAGAGGUCUGACUGACAGAAAGCAUCUGGUCAGGAGAUCCUGUGAUGGCUCCCCGUGUGAAACAAGCUGAGGCCUAAAAACUCCACAAACCACCAGAGACCAGGGCUUACUGCUGACUCCUGUGAAUCCUUCUGUAGCUGCAUGAGGAACUUCUCUGCUUGGUGAGAUAAAACCACCACAGAUUACAGGAACUCUGCACAGAGCUGUCCUGUCAGCUGCUUUAAAUCCUGAGGGUUUAAUCUCUGGUUGCUUCAGAGAGCCACCAGCUGGUUCUGGAUCUGGGCUUUAGUUUGGAUCAGUCUGGAUCUCAGAGUCUGGAUCAGUCUGGAUCUUAGAGUCUGGAUCAGUCUGGAUCUUAGAGUCUGGAUCAGUCUGGAUCUUA